GUUAAGACAUUGUCCUGGGGAUCAGGGAAAUGUUGCUUUUGGAUAGAUCGUCUUCCCGUUUCUUUCCUCCUGUAUUUUUUUUCCCCCUUCCUCAUCUCAGAAAUAGAUUCAAGAUCUACAAUAUGUGAAGCUUGCUCAUUAGUCCUGUAAGCCCUUGGGAAUUACACCGCUUCUUCUCCAAAAGCCUUUGAUGUAUAUUGGAUUAUAUCUAUUUUUAAUUGUGAUCGUAGACCACGAGCCCUGCUUUAUGCAUUAGCAUCUCUUUGAAGUUCCCAACUGUGGGAUUUCCCUCUCCCUGCUUUAUUGCUGGUUUUCUUUCUUUUUUCUUUUUAAAUUAAUUUAUUCUUCUUCUUUUUUUUUUUUUAAGUGGGUGUGGAAACAGAAAUGCUAAAGUGGCAUUCUUCCCUUGAUGGACGCUAAUACAUUUCUCCUUAUGUUGAGGUCAAAACCGGGAGAUCAAAUUGACAUGGGAGCCAAUCUGGAGACCCGAGAUUCCUGACAGGGGCGCAUUGGACAAAAGAGAAGAAGGCCUUGAGAUGGAUAGACGCUGAUGGAUUGAAAGUAGACCUCUCUGCUUUUCUCUGCUUUUUUUUUAAAACCAAAACAUGGCUUCCAACCUUCUUA